rnacentral:rRNA from 1 species
UACGUAGGGUGCAAGCGUUAAUCGGAUUUACUGGGCGUAAAGCGCACGUGGGCGGAUCGUUAAGUCGGGGGUGAAAUCCUGGAGCUCAACUCCAGAACUGCCUUCGAUACUGGCGAUCUUGAGUCCGGAAGAGGCGAGUGGAACUCCUAGUGUAGAGGUGGAAUUCGUAGAUAUUAGGAAGAACACCAGUGGCGAAGGCGGCUCACUGGUCCGGUACUGACGCUGAGGUGCGAAAGCGUGGGGAGCAAACAGG